GACGAACGCUGGCGGCGUGCCUAAUACAUGCAAGUAGAACGCUGAAGAGAGGAGCUUGCUCUUCUUGGAUGAGUUGCGAACGGGUGAGUAACGCGUAGGUAACCUGCCUUGUAGCGGGGGAUAACUAUUGGAAACGAUAGCUAAUACCGCAUAACAAUGGAUGACCCAUGUCAUUUAUUUGAAAGGGGCAAAUGCUCCACUACAAGAUGGACCUGCGUUGUAUUAGCUAGUAGGUGAGGUAACGGCUCACCUAGGCGACGAUACAUAGCCGACCUGGGAGGGUGAUCGGCCACACUGGGACUGAGACACGGCCCAGACUCCUACGGGAGGCAGCAGGAGGGAAUCUUCGGCAAUGGGGGCAACCCUGACCGAGCAACGCCGCGUGAGUGAAGAAGGGUUUCGGAUCGUAAAGCUCUGUUGUAAGUCAAGAACGAGUGUGAGAGUGGAAAGUUCACACUGUGACGGUAGCUUACCAGAAAGGGACGGCUAACUACGUG
rnacentral:rRNA from 1 species